UUUAGGAUGGGGAAAUGGCAGACAACGCUCUUGCUGAAUGAACUUCAAAUUGCGUGCUAAGACAUGCCUUUUUCUAAUUGAUCCCAUUGUCUGAAUCACUGAAAUAUGAUUGCGAGACACGAUGGAGACAGCACAGAUAUUUCAGCAGGACAAAGACCUCUGCUUCAUGGGAGUAAUGUGCCAGUGAAAUAUUUCAAGGAAGAAACUGCAAAAAUUACACGUUACAUAAAAGUAGGACAAAGAAAGAGUUUUGUCUUCAAAGUACUUGCUGUCUGGCAGUUUGAGCUUCCUGCAAUAGGUGGCAAUUUGUAGACUGAGCAGACAGCUACCUAUAUUGAUCAGGACAUAUGAAUAUGACAUACAACAUCCUCUCGAUAAGGAUUCAAUUCGGAUAGAUAUACAGUGACUUCACACCUAUUAAGAUGCCUCUAACUUCACUUCACUCCUCUGCUUUCACAACACUGUUCCUACUCUGAUAGGAGUAUCCUCCGUUUCCUCUGAUACUUCUUCAGAUUUGUUUCAGUCAUACAUAAGACAGCCCUUCCGUAGUUACAAAAUAUAUUGAGGAAAGACAGAGGGGCCAGAUGUGUCUGCAUUCAGCUUGUUAGACACUGUAUCAAAGACACUACUAAAAGAAUAUUCAAACUAACUUACCAGUAGAGAAAACAAGAA